UUUGCUGCGAUUUGGGGUUAUUUAUAUUUGACUGAAAUCGUUUCUUUAAGAUGGACCUCUUCUUCAUUUUACUAAAACUGUUUUAAUUAAGUAGCAUUUUGCAUCCAUUAGCCUUCAAUUAUGCUGAUGUUAUCAGCAAUUUUGUGGGUUACAAAUAGACUCAACCCUCCAGUCAUAUGACCUUUGAAUCGAGUUUAAAGCUGUUGUUAUCAGUUAAUGUGUAAGAAGAAUUGACUGUGCAUUUUAAGCAUAUGUAUCGAGAAGCCAAUCAAGUUGCAGAUUUUAUGGCGAAGUCAUGCACCAGCAGGUCAUAUGCUGUUAAGGUUUUUGAAGACCUAUUCCCUGAAGUUAAAAAAUUAUGCUUGAGUGAUAAGAGAGGUACCAAUUUUAAGGUCUGGUAGAACUUACGGCCCCGUUGCCUUCUUUUAAUUAUAAAAAAAAUAAAAAUCUAAAUUUGAAGCUGUAAACUGAAUUUGUCAAUUGCUAUCGUCAUUUUAUCAUGUUUGGGAAAAAAUUGAAGCAAACUAAACUCGGUUUGGUCAGUAACGGACCGAAACUAAUUUGGGUUGGUUUUAUCGGUUCUCCAACAAAGUCGGUUCGGUUUGGUUCCUUAAAAAGGGGAAGUCGGUUAAGUCAGUUUUUUUUUUUCUGCACUGACCCGACUGAUUUCUCACCCAUGGAAAGUGAUAAUCUUGCAUACAUGGAACUUGCAAUUCACCAGGCAAAACUUGCUUCGGAAAGCCUUGAAGUGCCUGUUGGUUGCGUAAUCAUCAAGGAUGGGGAGCUUAUAGCCUUGGGUAGAAAUCGAACCACUGAGACACGAAAUGCAACAAGGCAUGCAGAAAUGGAAGCCAUAGAUAAUCUUCGAGAGAUGUGGCAGAGAGACGGACUUUCAAAAGCAGAAGUGGCUAAAAACUUUUCACAAUGUAUUUUGUAUGUUACAUGUGAACCAUGCAUAAUGUGUGCUGCAGCUUUGUCAUUUCUUGGCAUAAAGGAAGUAUAUUAUGGUUGUGCAAAUGAGAAAUUUGGAGGGUGCGGAUCAAUUUUAUCCUUGCAUUCAAGUUACUCAGAGCCUUUCAUCAGUGAUAAAGUUCCACAAAGAGGUUUCAAAUGUACAGGGGGAUUAAUGUCCUCAGAAGCAAUCUCUCUUUUCCGAAGUUUCUAUGAACAGGGGAAUCCUAAUGAGGUCUCGUAACAUAGCAAGCUCCAAAGCCUCAUAGGCCUCUCGUUCAAAAGAAAGUUGAGUGAUAAAUAUAGGGUUUUGGUGCUGUAAGGUGAUUUAGGGCUGAUCAAAUGUUGGCGAUAGAACUGCGAAGAGAAAAGCAAAUAACAAGUCAAGAAAAAGCUGGUUGGAGUUUGACAAUGGUAAUGGCAUGUUGUUCUAGCGUGCUGUCGCAUGUCAGUGUCGGAUUUGUCAAAGCCACAUUAUAAGUCAUAUUUAACUGUGUUAGUAUUAGGUAGAUCAACAGUUUGAUGGUUUGAUAGGAUAGGUAGCUUGAACAUUCUUAAAGAACAAGUAUCAUAUUGAUAAAUUCGUUAAUCUUCAGGGGCUACUUAUAAAAAUUUUGUCAACUAUUUUAUAACAAAUAUGGGCUUGAAGGGUUUCUAUUAAGUUUUUCUUCGGCGAGGUAUUUUACUUGUGUAUAUGUACAUAUAAUUCCAAUAUAUAUUACAUGACAUAAUUUAAGGUUAUUAAA